GAUGAACGCUGGCGGCGUGCUUAACACAUGCAAGUCGAACGGAAAGGCCCAAGCUUGCUUGGGUACUCGAGUGGCGAACGGGUGAGUAACACGUGGGUGAUCUGCCCUGCACUUCGGGAUAAGCCUGGUAAACUGGGUCUAAUACUGGAUAUGACCACUUCUUGGAUGUUGUGGUGGAUAGUUUUUUCGGUGUGGGAUGAGCUCGCGGCCUAUCAGCUUGUUGGUGGGGUAAUGGCCUACCAAGGCGUCGAAGGGUAGCCGGCCUGGGAGGGUGUACGGUCACAUUGGGACUGAGGUACGGCCCAGACUCCUACGGGAGGCAGCAGUGGGGAAUAUUGCACAAUGGGCGCAAGCCUGAUGCAGAGACGCCGCGUGGGGGAUGACGGGCUUCGGGUUGUAAACUCCUUUCGCUAGGGACGAAGCGUUUUGUGACGGUACCUGGAGAAGAAGCACCGGCUAACUACGUG
rnacentral:rRNA from 1 species